UACGCCAAUAGAGGCUCGUCCAAUGAGGACGUGAAACCGAUGAGGUGGAAACGGAUAGAGCCAGCGUAUCUGGCCUGUAUUCAACUGCAUUGUUGUGAGCAGUUGGGCGCUGCAUCUCCAGAUUGGGACAGUCCUGGCUUGCAAGCAACAAUGUUGUGCAUUUGCAGGUCGAGUGCGCCGAGACUUUCGAGAAGGCGAUAUGAGCUCAAUUUUGAGGCCAGCUUGCUGGUACCCGGAUUGGAGGAAUGUUGUUCGUUUUGGAUGUGAAUGGGGGAAAGGUUUUCGGCCCCCAUUGGUUUCAAAUUGGGGGGGGGGGGCAAUUUCCUCCAAAUUGUUCCUUCCGCCAAUUCGGUCCGGGGGGAGCCCUAACCCCCCCCCCUGGAAAAAAUUGGAAAUCCUGCCCCCCCCUCUUGAAAACAGGAACAAGAAUUUUUUCCGUGCCCUUGUUUUUGGUUGUUAAAAACUCAAAGGGCCAUUUGAAGAAGGAUCCCUCCGAGAUACAGCUGGUGAUAGAAACAAUCACAAUGGCCUGGAACAAAAUGUCCCCCCUUCUGGCCCUUUGUGAUCGGUUGGAUGAAAAUCUACUCUCGUAUCCCCCCAAAUAGUGUGUAAAUAUUCCUCACGAGGACAAAUCCUGAUAAACUCUGGGGGGAAUCCCAACGAUCCAACCUCUCAUCCCAUCAGUGACUGUCCUUUGGUCGAACAAUUAUAUAUCUUCUAUUUUCUUUUCUUUCUAUAAAUAAAAAUAACAUA
rnacentral:rRNA from 1 species